rnacentral:rRNA from 1 species
CCUACGGGUGGCAGCAGUAGGGAAUCUUCCACAAUGGGCGAAAGCCUGAUGGAGCGACGCCGCGUGAGUGAAGAAGUAUCUCGGUACGUAAAGCUCUAUCAGCAGGGAAGAAAAUGACGGUACCUGACUAAGAAGCCCCGGCUAACUACGUGCCAGCAGUCGCGGUAAUACGUAGGGGGCAAGCGUUAUCCGGAUUUACUGGGUGUAAAGGGAGCGUAGACGGCAGCACAAGUCUGGAGUGAAAUCCCGGGGCUUAACCCCGGAACUGCUUUGGAAACUGUGCGGCUGGAGUGCAGGAGGGGUAAGCGGAAUUCCUAGUGUAGCGGUGAAAUGCGUAGAUAUUAGGAGGAACACCGGUGGCGAAGGCGGCUUACUGGACUGUAACUGACGUUGAGGCUCGAAAGCGUGGGGAGCAAACAGGAUUAGAUACCCUAGUAGUC